GAAGACUAUCAGCAUGGCGAUAUUGACCAUCAUUCUGCUUGUCAGCAUGGCUUUGGCUCUGGGAGAUGCCUUUAUUCCGAUAGGUGGUAUGCGACCCAAGACCCGCUGUGAGCAUUUAAGAGAUUCCAAGAAAAACAGCCCGCCUGGAACCUACAUCCCAACUUGUGACGACGAUGGACAAUACACCCCU